UAACUUUCGAUGGUAGGAUAGAGGCCUACCAUGGUGGUAACGGGUAACGGGGUGUUAGGGCACGACACCGGAGAGGGAGCCAGAGAAACGGCUACCACAUCCAAGGAUGGUAGCAGGCGCGCAAAUUACCCAAUCCCGACACGGGGAGGUAGUGACAAUAAAUAACAAUACGGGGUUCUUUCGGAUCUCGUAAUUGGAAUGAGUACAAUUUAAAUCUCUUAACGAGGAACAAUUGGAGGGCAAGUCUGGUGCCAGCAGCCGCGGUAAUUCCAGCUCCAAUAGCGUAUAUUAAAGUUGUUGCAGUUAAAAAGCUCGUAGUUGAAUUUCGGGGUUAGUAGGUUGGUCAUGCCUCUGGUAUGUACUGGUCUCACUGAUUCCUCCUUCCUGAUGAACCGUAAUGCCAUUAAUUUGGUGUUGCGGGGAAUUUGGACUGUUACUUUGAAAAAAUUAGAGUGUUUAAAGCAGGCAUACGCUUGAAUACAUUAGCAUGGAAUAAUGAAAUAGGACGUUUGAUUCUAUUUUGUUGGUUUCUAGGAUCGACGUAAUGAUUAAUAGGGAUAGUUGGGGGCAUUAGUAUUCAAUUGUCAGAGGUGAAAUUCUUGGAUUUAUUGAAGACUAACUACUGCGAAAGCAUUUGCCAAGGAUGUUUUCAUUAAUCAAGAACGAAAGUUAGGGGAUCGAAGACGAUCAGAUACCGUCGUAGUCUUAACCAUAAACUAUGCCGACUAGGGAUCGGAUGAUGUUAAUUUUUUAAUGACUCAUUCGGCGCCUUACGGGAAACCAAAGUGUUCGGA
rnacentral:rRNA from 1 species